rnacentral:misc_RNA from 1 species
AUAUCUAAACCACGAACUCCAAGGAAGAAAUAUCGAUAGGCUGCACCCACCAACAUAUACCCACCAAAAAGGCAUAAGAUAAUGAUUACUAAGGUACCAAACCAGCCCCAUCCUUUCCCAUGAACAGAUACAACUAUGGCACAACCUGAAGGAUGUUGUAGUACUGCUGCAUAAUCACAGGUCCCUAAUUUCUCCAGUGAAUGUGGCCCUUGAACACCAUUUGAAU